AACGAGAGCGACCGGUGCUUGCACUGGUCAAUCUAGUGGCGAACGGGUGAGUAACACGUGGGUAACCUGCCCAUCAGAGGGGGAUAACAUCCGGAAACGGAUGCUAAAACCGCAUAGGUCUUCGAGCCGCAUGGCUUGAAGAGGAAAAGAGGCGCAAGCUUCUGCUGAUGGAUGGACCCGCGGUGCAUUAGCUAGUUGGUGAGGUAACGGCUCACCAAGGCAGUGAUGCAUAGCCGACCUGAGAGGGUGAUCGGCCACAUUGGGACUGAGACACGGCCCAAACUCCUACGGGAGGCAGCAGUAGGGAAUCUUCCGCAAUGGACGCAAGUCUGACGGAGCAACGCCGCGUGAGUGAAGAAGGUUUUCGGAUCGUAAAACUCUGUUGUUAGAGAAGAACAAGUGCUAGAGUAACUGUUAGCGCCUUGACGGUAUCUAACCAGAAAGCCACGGCUAACUACGUGCCAGCAGCCGCGGUAAUACGUAGGUGGCAAGCGUUGUCCGGAUUUAUUGGGCGUAAAGCGAGCGCAGGCGGUUCCUUAAGUCUGAUGUGAAAGCCCCCGGCUCAACCGGGGAGGGUCAUUGGAAACUGGGGAACUUGAGUGCAGAAGAGGAGAGUGGAAUUCCAUGUGUAGCGGUGAAAUGCGUAGAUAUAUGGAGGAAC
rnacentral:rRNA from 1 species